CGCCAGUUGGAAGAUUUGGAUAACAGGGGGCGCCGCAGUUACAUCAGGAUUCGCGGCCUACCUAAAAUCCCCCAGAACGAACCCCUGGAAGCCACUCUGCAAGCCCUCUUCACUACCAUAAUGGACAACGACACGCUUGGUGAGGUCCAGCUAGACAGAGCACAUAGAGCACUCCGUGCCCCCGCGUACUGAAGAUGUCAUAUGCUGCAUCCACUCAUUC